GUGCUCUCUUCAGCAGCACGUAUACUAAAACUGGAAUGAUACAGAGAAAAUUAGCAUGGCUCCUACAUAAGAAUGAUACACAAAUUUGUGACGCACUCCAUAUUUAA
rnacentral:snRNA from 1 species